rnacentral:rRNA from 1 species
UACGAAGGGGGCUAGCGUUGCUCGGAAUGACUGGGCGUAAAGGGCGCGUAGGCGGUUCUGACAGCCAGGCGUGAAAUUCCUGGGCUCAACCUGGGGGCUGCGCUUGCGACGUCAGGGCUGGAGUGCGGAAGAGGGUCGUGGAAUUCCCAGUGUAGAGGUGAAAUUCGUAGAUAUUGGGAAGAACACCGGUGGCGAAGGCGGCGACCUGGUCCGUGACUGACGCUGAGGCGCGAAAGCGUGGGGAGCAAACAGG